UACGUAGGGUGCAAGCGUUAAUCGGAAUUACUGGGCGUAAAGCGUGCGCAGGCGGCUUUGCAAGACAGAUGUGAAAUCCCCGGGCUCAACCUGGGAACUGCAUUUGUGACUGCAAGGCUAGAGUACGGCAGAGGGGGAUGGAAUUCCGCGUGUAGCAGUGAAAUGCGUAGAUAUGGCGGAGGAACACCAAUGGCGAAGGCAAUCCCCUGGGCCUGUACUGACGCUCAUGCACGAAAGCGUGGGGAGCAAACAGG
rnacentral:rRNA from 1 species